UCGGGGUUACAGCCUUGCUGUAAUUAUUCAAAAUUGUCUUUUGCGUACUUCUUGUUUCCUUGGUGGGUUCGCCCACCACUAGGACAAACAUAAACCUUUUGUAAUUGCAAUCAGCGUCAGUAACAAAUUAAUAAUUACAACUUUCAACAACGGAUCUCUUGGUUCUGGCAUCGAUGAAGAACGCAGCGAAAAGCGAUAAGUAGUGUGAAUUGCAGAAUUCAUUGAAUCAUCCAAUCUUUGAACGCACAUUGCGCCCUUUGGUAUUCCAAAGGGCAUGCCUGUUCAAGCGUCAUUUGUACCCUCAAGCUUUGCUUGGUGUUGGGCGUCUUGUCUCUAGCUUUGCUGGAGACUCGCCUUAAAGUAAUUGGCAGCCGGCCUACUGGUUUCGGAGCGCAGCACAAGUCGCACUCUCUAUAAGCAAAGGUCUAGCAUCCAUUAAGCCUUUUUUUCAACUUUUGACCUCCGAUCAGGUAGGGAUACCCGCUGAAGUCUAA
rnacentral:rRNA from 1 species